rnacentral:rRNA from 1 species
AGAUUGAACGCUGGCGGCAUGCCUUACACAUGCAAGUCGAACGGCAGCACGGGAGCAAUCCUGGUGGCGAGUGGCGAACGGGUGAGUAAUACAUCGGAACGUGCCCAAUCGUGGGGGAUAACGCAGCGAAAGCUGUGCUAAUACCGCAUAAGAUCUACGGAUGAAAGCAGGGGAUCGCAAGACCUUGCGCGAAUGGAGCGGCCGAUGGCAGAUUAGGUAGUUGGUGAGGUAAAGGCUCACCAAGCCUUCGAUCUGUAGCUGGUCUGAGAGGACGACCAGCCACACUGGGACUGAGACACGGCCCAGACUCCUACGGGAGGCAGCAGGUGGGGAAUUUGGACAAGUGGGCGAAAGCCUGAUCCAGCCAUGCCGCGUGCAGGAUGAAGGCCUUGGUUGUAACUGUCGUUUUAGUACGG